rnacentral:lncRNA from 10 species
CGUCCGCCACCACGCCCGGCUAAUUUUUUCUAUUUUUAGCAGAGACGGGGUUUCACCGUGUUAACCAGGAUGGUCUCGAUCUCCUGACCUCGUGAUCCGCCCGCUUUGGCCUCCCAAAGUGCUGGGAUUACAGGCGUGAGCCACCGCACCCGGCCCCUAUUUUUAUUAUCUUUUAAUAAAGCUUCUAUUUAUGCCUUCUAGAUGGAGACAUGAGAGGCAGCAUGCUGGCUUAUUCAGGGGAAAGACUUCACAAGUUGAUAACAAAAGGCUGAUGUUGCAAGAAUCAAGUCAUUUAGGAUGCAGCUUUAACCUUAUAGGUCAUAGACAUUAUUACACAGGAGUCUAAAUAUUUGGAAAUAAAAAAAUUGUAUGUUUUUCUAUGAGCAACAAUGAUCAACAAAUUAUGAAGAAAUAUAAGAGCUUCCCUCUAUUCUAUUUUUAUUUUAGAGAAAAGGUCUCAUUUUGUUCCCCAGGCUGGAGUGCAGUAGCACAAUCAUAGCUCAUGGCAGUCUCAAACUCCUGGGCUCAAGCAGUCCUCCUGCCUCAGCCUCCCAAAUAGCAAUGAAAUCCAACCCUCGCUCUAUUUUUAUAACUUCAAAAAUAUUUUCCCUACCAUCUUUAAUGUUUCAAGCAUGGAGAAACCAUAUCUAAUAUUUUAACCCAAUUAGGAAAUAUAAUUAAAUGCUAAAAAUAUUAAUAUUUAUAAUUACAGUUGAUUUUUUAUGUUUGUAUAACUUUAUUUUCAUAUUUUAUACCCAAAUUUACACAAUAAUAUUUUAUAUUUUUCGGUAGAACUAUUAAAAUAUAAUAUUAAUAGCACAUUUUAAAGCCAGUUGGCUAUAAAAUCAUGAUCCAAAUUUCCCUAAAUAGCAAUCUGUUAUGACAGCAUGCUAGGUUAUAAUCCGUCGGGAAGUCAAGAGGCGGUCAACAACCAUUUCCCACAGAGUACGUCUAAAUGGUACACGUUGACACAUAAGAUGUUUGAGACAAAAAUUGGCCACAAUUUCUGAAAAUAAAAAUGUCCUUUUGGUUGUUUUCUUUUCUUUUCUUUUCUUUUUUUUUUUUUUUUUUUUGAGAUGCAGUCUCAUUCUGUUGUCUAGGUUGGAGUGCAAUGGUGAGAUCUUGGCUCACUGCAACCUCGGCCCCCUGGGGUUCAAACGAUUCUUCUGCCUCAGCCUCCCGAGUAGCUGAGAUUACAGGCACACACCACCCAACCCGGCUAGUAUUUGUACUUUUAGUAAAGACAGGGUUUCACCCUGUUGGCCAGGCUGGUCUCGAACUCCUGACAUAUGACCCACCCACCUCGGCCUUCUAAAGUUCUGGGAUUACAGGCAUGAGCCACUGCACCCAGCCAAAAGUGUCCUUAAAUGUAGUAGCUUCUGUUCCUCUUUUAGUAUGAUUUCCUAACAUUUGCUCUUGAUAGGGAAAGAUAAAAAGAUUUGAAUAUUUACCUGUUACUAAGCUUUGUCAUUAAAAACUAUUUAAUUUAUAACUUACAAUUAGUUACUACAUGAGUCUAAUUGCAUAUGAAAUAAUUUAUGUUUUACUUUUGAGGCAGUCUAUAGACGGCAGACUAAAUACGAAGAAAAUUGAUCUAAGCUGGUCAUUUUUCAAAUGUCAGGGGCUGUUUUUUCAUUGUCAUUGGUUUACUUCUAUAGAAGAGACCAAGGCAAAGUGAAUAACUCCUGGAAAUUUUGAAGGAGUUAUUUAUCAAAUGAUUGAGAUAAUUUUGGGCUGUUUGCCCUCAGUUUAUUAUUUUUUUUUUUUUGCCUCUCUCAGCUCUGCAGGAUGAAUUUCCCUGAAUUCGCUGGGAUGAACUGAUGGAAAACCAGGAGAAGCCAGAAUAUAUCUCAUCCUCCCCUGCCUCAGCUACUCCACCACCUCCUCACCCUCCUGCCCAUGUCUCUAGCUCCCACUAGAGAGGCCCAUUAGACUCCAGCCUCUGUCACAUUAUCCUGGCCUCUGCACUCUGAUAUCAUCCUACAUUCUUUAUGUCAAUUGCCUACAAAUGGUAAUGACUUUCUACCAUUUCUAUUUGAUUUAUCGCACCAUUCUCUCUGUGCCUCUAUCACCUAUAUCAUCAAUUCCUUACUGAUUUCCUCUCUGUUGUAUUAUAUAUUCUUAAAGUGGUUUUGAUUUUCUCAUGUGGAUACUAAUAUGUGUAUGCAUUUGCUUGUUUGUUUAUGUCAUAACUUAUGCCGUGCGUUAUUCCAGAAAAGGUUUAAAGCAAUUUGGAGAAAAUGUAAAAUAUAAGAAGAUAUAUAUCAAAAAUUAAAAGUGGAUUUUUUUUAAAGCUGGGUACAAGGAUAAACUAAACUAAUUUGAUGUAAUAAUGUCAGGUAUAAAGCUAAACUAGCCCGGGCAUGGUGACUCACACCUCUACUCCCAGUACUUUGAGAGGGCAAGGUGAAAGGAUGGCUUGAGACCAGGAAUUCAAGAUCAGCCUUGGCAACGUAGCAAGACUCUGUCUCUACAAAAACAAAAAAAAAAACAAAAAACGAACAAACAAAAUUACCCAGCAGGCAUGGUGGAGCAAGCCUGUAGUCCUAGCUACUGUGGGAGCUGAAGCUGUGGGAUCGUUUGAGCCAGAAGGUCAAGGCCUCAGUAAGCUAUGAUCACAUCACUGCACUCCAUCCUAGGUGACAGAGUAAAACCUUAUCUCUAAAACAAAAUAAAUAAAUAAAUAGAGCUGAAACAAUGCACAACCAGCCUUUGGCAGCAGAUGGCCCUUACAUUUAACUCUAAACUUUCUAGUAGUAAGUGUAAAAAGGGAAACAUGAUUAGCUUGAAAAUUCACAGGUAGGAAGAGAAGAGGAGAAGGAGGAAGAGAAGGAAGUAAUUGUUUAUUUAACUAUUAGGAUCCACUGUUAUUUGUGACAUCUGAUUAAGGUACACGUAAGGUUUUAUCUUUUAAAAUUUUUUAUUUUCCUAAAAGAAACCACUCAAGCAUUCAUGUGGCCAUCUAUUAUUGUUUAAUUCACUCCAUAUCCAACCACUCUCCAAUAUUCCUGGAGUUGAUUCAGUCCAAAGAGAGCUUUCAUGAUGUAUCAUGGUCACAAUUGGAUUCUUCAUAUCCAAUAAAACUGUCAGAGUUAGGCACAGCUCCAUCAGACCAGACGCACUCUUUUCUCAUAGAAAGCCGUCUUCUUUGGGAGCUCAUGGGUAACUUCCUAACAAGGACCUCGGUGCAACCAACACUGGCUGUCAGAAUGUCCUAAUGGCAUUGAAUAUUGUAUGCACAAUUUGUUUUGUAGCUUCUAAAUGAUGCAAAAUAUUUCAUAGUGUCCACAAUCACAUAUCUUUUAUUCAUUUCCCAACAUUAUUUUCAGCACGUUACAUUUGUACUCUGUACAAGGAUUUAUUUGGGAUAUACACCUAGAACUCAUUUCUCAGGGGCACAGAAGCCCAACAGGAAACAAUUAAGAUCAUUAAGUAUAGACAGAUUUAUUUCCAAAAGGGUUUUUCUCGUUUAUGUUCCCCAUGAUAAUAAUUUUAAAAGAUUUAUAAAUAUUCUUAUUUUCUCACAUCUCUGCCAAUGUUGUUUUUAUCUAAUUUUCUAAUUUUUACCUACGGAGACUGUAAAGAGGUAUUCCAUUGCAGUUUCACUUUUCUCUGACUACUAAUGAGUUUGAGCAUUUCUCCAUAUAACUUUACAUCAACUAUACUUCUUUGUAAAUCAACUGCUCAUCUUCUUUACCAAAUCUUUAAUUGAGUUUCCUUUCUUUCCUUUGGAAGUUAACAUGAAUCAUUAAAGAUAAAUACUGUUGAUUUGUGUCACCUGAGGUCAGGAGUUCCAGACCAUCGUGGCCAACAUGAUGAAACCCUGUCUUUACUAAAAAUCAGAAAAUUAGGCCGGUUGCGGUGCCCGUAAUUAUGCCUGUAAUCCCAGCACUUUGGGAGGCCGCGGUAGGCGAAUCACGAGGUCAGGAAAUCGAGACCAUCCUGGCCAACAGAAACCCUGUCUCUACUAAAAAUACAAAAACUAGCUGGGCGUGGCGGGGCGUGCCCGUAGUCCCAGCACUCGGGAGGCUGGGGCGGGAGAAUCGCUUGAACUCAGGGGGCGGGAGAGUCGCUUGAACUCAGGAGGCGGAGUUUGCAGUGAGCCAAGAUGGCGCCGCUGCACUCCAGCCUGGCUACAGAGGUAGACUCCCUCUCAGAUUUAACAAAAAAAAAAAAAAAAUAGCUGGGCGUCGUGUCGGCACGCCUGUAAUCUCAGCUAUUCAAGAGGCUGAGGCAGGAGAAUCGCUUGAACUGGGAGGCGCAGGUUGCAGUGAGCCGAGAUCGCGCCACCAAACUCCAGCCUGGGCGACAGAACAAAACUCCCUCUCAACAACAACAACAACAAAAUACUAUUGAUUUGUUUAGGCUGACUUUCUGAGCAACAAUCUUGAUAAAUUACUUUAUUUAUUGUAAUAAUUGCUUUUUUUCUGUUGAAUUUAAUUUUAUUUUGACAAUUGUGCAAUCAACAAAUGAAGACAUUUUUAACUCUACCUCUUCGUAUUAGUUCGUUUUCACACUGCUGAUAAAGCCAUACCUGAGAGUGGGUAAUUUAUAAAGAAAAAGCGGUUUAAUGGGCUCACAGUUCCACGUGGCUGUGGAGGCCUCACAAUCAUGGCGGAAAGUGAAAGGCACAUCUUGCAUUGGCCCCAGGUGAGAGAGAAUGAAAAACCAAGCGAAAGGGGUUUCCUCUUAUAAAACCAUCAGCUCAGGUGAGACUUAUUUGUUACCAAAAGAACAGUACGUGGGAAACCGGCCCAGUGAUUCAAUUAUCUCCCACCGGGUCUCUCCCAUAACACGUGGAAAUUAUAGGAACUACAAUUCAAAAUGAGGUUUGGGUGAGAGGACCCAGCCAAUCCAUAUCCCUCUCAUAUCUCAAACUCUUUUUUUUUUUCUUCUCUGAUAGUUUUGGUUAUAACUGUGCAAAACACUAUUGAUGAAAAUAGGCAUUCUUUUAUUUGUUUUUAAAGAAACUAUGUUUAAAUGCCCUCAAUUAAAUAUAACAUUUGGUAUAGUUCCCAAGUAUAUAGGCACAUUCUUUAGGGACGCUUUUUUCUACCACAAUUUUUCUGAGUUUUUAAUAAAAACAAGUGUGAUAUUAUUUAUUUUUCAGAUCUAUUGAAGUGAUAGUGUUUUUUAUUAUGUGGUCCUUCAAUGUGAUGAACAAUAGUAUACACUGGUUACCAAUUAUUAACAUUAUGAGUAGAUGACAGGUAUAAUUGAAGUCACGUUGUUGGCUGGGGUAAAUACCCGAAGUUCGUCAUCUCACGCCAAGGAUAUUAAGUAGGCGGACACACAAGAAGUGGGUUUAGAAGCAGAGGUUUAAUAGGCAAAAGAAGGAGAAAGGAGCAAAGCUCUCUCUCUCCUGAGAGACAGGUGCCCCAGUGGGACUUCUGGCCAUCAGUGGAGCCCACAGGGUUUUAUAGACAGCCUGGAGGAGGCGGUGUCUGAUUUACGCACAGCUCACAGAUUGGUUGGACCAGGUGUGACGUUUACAUAGUGCAUGAGGAAACUGGCCACCCCAGCUUAAUCUUUCGUUAUGCAAAUGGGGUCUCUACUUGGCCAGCACUAUGUUCCCUGCUCCUUACUGUGCCCGUGACAAGGAAAGGAGACGAUGGAGCCGCCAUGUUGAACACGUCUAGCCUCAGGUAGCCUUUUCCUAUUGGCACAGCUGCAGGCAUUCACCCUUGCAAGCUUCCAGCUCGCUCAUCUAUGUCUGCAGCUUGUUUUUACAGGCUGCUCUUUGUUAGAUAACAAAAUGACUUGGGGGCUGCUUUUCAUUAAAAGGAAAACCUUACAAUCUGCCUAAAUAAUUUCUUCUUAAGUCCUAUAUCAUAAUUUUCUGUCAAUAAGUAUCGUUCCAUUUUAAAAAUAAACAGUAUUUUAAGGAUUUUAAAAAUUUUCCAACAAACUGUUUAAUUAAGAUAGUCAAAUUUUAUUUAAUAGCUAUGCAUUUGCAUUUAUAAGAUUGGUCUCUAAUUUCUUUUCCUUAUUUCUCCUUAUUCUUAUUUUAUGGGAUUUUAUGAGCUACAACAAAAUGAGUUGGCAAUUAGUCUUCCUUUUGAUUUUUGUGACCAUUUGUUUAAUGUUUUUAAAACAUUUAGAGGGGUAGAUUUGAAACAAUUUGUCUCUAAAAAUGUCUGGGCAUGAGAUUUUUUGAGGAAGUAUAGGAAUCUUUGUUUAUCAUUUAAUUUCUUUCAUGAAUACAAGUCUAUUAACAUUUUCUAUUGCUUUUUUUUUUACCAAAUUCUGCCAUUCUCAUUUUUCAGAAAUGUAUCAAUUGUAUUUUAUUUUAAAAUGUAUUUUAUGCAAUCUUUGUAACAUGCUUUGAAAUUUUAAUAUUUUGAUAUUCCCUU